GCCUGGGUGGCUCAGUCGGUUAAGCGUCUGACUUCGGCUCAGGUCAUGAUCUGGCGGUUUGUGGGUUCGAGCCCCGCGUUGGGCU
rfam:Felis catus isolate Cinnamon breed Abyssinian chromosome C1, whole genome shotgun sequence.